AUGAUGUCAAGGUAUAGUUUAAACUGUCUAUUAUUUCAGGCUGAAAAUGACUCAAAAUCCGAGGUCCUCAAUGUCUUUGGAGUUUUGAACAGUCUCAACCCUGUUAAUGUCCGAAGUGAGACGUUCAUACGACUGUGGUCCAAAAUCCAGCUGGAACCUCUUUUGCCCUACAUUACUGGAGAAUUCAUGACCCUGUUGAGCACAAAAGACUUCAGCUGCAGCGCUUAUCAGGCAUUGAUCAAGACACUAAGUGAUGAUCUGGGAUCAAUUACCGAAGAGCAAAAACUAUUGUUAUACAAUCACAGAAGCACAGACGCUCAAAGCAGCCAAUCUGCCUCAAUAAACACAAAGCAACAACAAUUGAUCUUCACUUAUUUCAUCCUACCAUUCCUUUCGAGAAAUGACACAACAGAUCCCGGCUGUGUGUCAAACACCAGUGGAAGCACGGACUGGCUCCAGAGGAACUUUGGCGUAUUUUCAGUUUUUGCAGAACUGUCCGAGUUACAAGUCCUUAAUCCCGGGUUUUCCAGCAUGGAAUCUCUCUCGGCGCUUACCCCAGACCAAGUGGCACAAUGGGCAUUGAGCUCUGGAGCAUUGAAUGACACCAAUGACAUCAACCUUGUGUUUGAGCGGCUGGACGAAGGAAACGCUUUCCAAAAUGUUGACCAGUUUCUGACGCAAUUGACGGCCGAUGCAGAAGUAAUGCAUGUUUGAAAAAACUAAACAUUCAUGCGUUCAACUUGACAAUCA
rnacentral:lncRNA from 1 species